UACUAAUUCUAGCCCACCAUAAUCACCUCAAAACAACUAUCAACCACAAAUAAACCAAAACAUUUACCCUAAGUAAAAGUAUAGGAGAUAAAAAUUACAUAAACUGGCGCUAUAGAGUAAGUACCGCAAGGGAAAGAUGAAAGAAUAAUUAACAGUAAAAAAAAGCAUAGAUAUGCCCUAGUACCUUUUGCAUAAUGAAUUAGCUAGAACAACCUUGGCAAACUGAAUAUUCAGCCAAGCACCCCGAAACCAAACGAGCUACUCUUAAAUAGUCAAUAAGAACUAACUCUUCUAUGUGGCAAAAUAGUGAGAAAAUUUAAAAGUAGCGGUGAAAAGCCUAUCGAGUUUGGUGAUAGCUGGUUGUCCAAAAAAAGAAUCUUAGUUCUCCUUAAAACUUGCCUUAUAAUCAACCAAUUUAAACGUAAGUUUUACAGCUAGUUUAUAAAGGGACAGCUUUAUAAACAAUGGAAAACCCACUAUUAGAGAGUAAACAACCAAUACCAUUUUUGUAGGCCUAAAAGCAGCCACCAUUAAAGAAAGCGUUAAAGCUCAAAUUAACCCCAACCCGACCUAAUUCUUCAAACCAAAAAGACCUCCUAAUAAACAUAUUGGACUACUCUAUGAUCAAUAUAGAAGAAAUAAUGCUAUUAUAAGUAACAAGAAGCACUCUUCUCCUGGCAUAAGCGUAUAUCAGAACGAAUACUCGCUGAUAGUUAACAGCCUUAUAAUCAACACACAAAAUAUACAAAUUAUUACCCCCCCCCCCCCCACUGUUAACCCAACACAGGUGUGCCCCAAAGGAAAGAUUAAAAUAAGUAAAAGGAACUCGGCAAACAAUAACCCCGCCUGUUUACCAAAAACAUCACCUCUAGCAUAAAAAAUAUUAGAGGCACGACCUGCCCAGUGACCUACGUUAAACGGCCGCAGUAUCCUGACUGUGCAAAGGUAGCAUAAUCACUUGUUCCUUAAUUAGGGACUAGUAUGAACGGUUAGACGAGGGAUUAACUGUCUCUUACUUACAAUCAGUGAAAUUGACCUCCCCGUGAAGAGGCGGGGAUAUAACAAUAAGACGAGAAGACCCUAUGGAGCUUUAAUAUGUUAACCCACUAAACAUACAAACAACACUACAAGUAGUAUAACAUAAACCACGAUGGGUUGACGAUUUCGGUUGGGGUGACCUCGGAGCACAAAACAACCUCCGAAUGAUUAUAAUCUAGACCUACAAGUCAAAGUAACAAUCAACAAUUGACCCAAUACAUUUGAUCAAUGGACCAAGUUACCCUAGGGAUAACAGCGCAAUCCUAUUCAAGAGUUCAUAUCGACAAUUAGGGUUUACGACCUCGAUGUUGGAUCAGGACACCCCGACGGUGCAACAGCUGUCAAAGGUUCGUUUGUUCAACGAUUAAAGUCCUACGUGAUCUGAGUUCAGACCGGAGUAAUCCAGGUCGGUUUCUAUCUAUUAACAAGUCUCUCUCAGUACGAAAGGAACAGAGAAACAGGGCCUACAACUUAUAAGCGCCCUAAGGUUUAAUAAAUGAAACAAUCUAAACUUAAAACACCAAUAAGACCCCCCCCGCCCAAGAACAGGGUUU
rnacentral:rRNA from 1 species